UACAGGACGGUCCGAGCGUUGUUCGGAUUCAUUGGGCGUAAAGCGUCUGUAGGUGGCUUUUUAAGUCCGCCGUCAAAUCCCAGGGCUCAACUCUGGACAGGCGGUGGAAACUACCAAGCUGGAGUACGGUAGGGCAGAGGGAAUUUCCGGUGGAGCGGUGAAAUGCGUAGAGAUCGGAAAGAACACCAACGGCGAAGGCACUCUGCUGGCCGACACUGACACUGAGAGACGAAGCUAGGAGCGAAUGG
rnacentral:rRNA from 1 species